CAACUAUUGAAAUCUUUUAUUUCUGUACCUCCAGUGAUAGAGCUACAACACAAUCAUUCAUUUUUGAAAAAAUGUUUUAAAUUCUGACAAUUUCAUUGCAAAGACUAAGGAAGCUAUCUAGUGUCUAAACAAAAGUUUUAAACUGUGAGUCCUUCAAAACAAUCAAAUGUACAAAAAUUAAAGAACAUGGCAUAUAUAUAUUGUUAAAAGCAAAUCAUUAACUAGAAACAUUUGGAUAAACCUAAAGAGAAUCUAUCAAUGUCUUGUGUGCAGCUUUGAGCAGAGUACAACACACACUAGACCUAAAGCUCUAUUUAUUAAAUAUUUGUUUAAUACUUACAUAUUAAAAAAAACAACUUAUAUCACCUUGUCAGGUGAAGGAACGUUGACCAUAUGGGGGGGGGGG